UUUCUGCGAAAUCUAUUGAAGUAGAGCGUUUAAAAGACUUUUAUAAGGGUAGAGCUCUCGAUAAACAAUGGGAACGUAAAGUUUUACUGAGUUUAUUGAAACUUCGAAUAUUACUAAAAUGACUUUAAACAGACAGUCCAUGAGUGCUAAGAUUCAUGGUCGAGAGGGAAACAGCCCAGACUAUUAAUUAAGGUUCGUAAAAAUAAUUAAGUGAAGAAAUUGUAAAAAAAUGUUGACAACCGAAAAGUAGGCUUAGAAGCAGCCAUCUUUUAAAGAAGGCGUAACAGCUCAUUGGUUUAGUUUUUUUGCAUUAAAAAUGUUUAGAACUAAAAUUAUUUACCGAAAUUAUAGAUUUUCAAUAAAAAUGGUAGCAGAACGUUUUGUAUGUCUGAGAAGUCUUAUAUUAAUAUAAGAUGGAGAUAUCAAAAAUGAAAAUGUUGGUACGAGUAACGUUAAACAAUGUGUAAAACAUUGUCGCCUUAAGUUCAAGGUUUCCAAAACAAGGUUAAUCCUUUUUGGUAUUAAAUUAAUUCGGUCUCUAAGAAAAAAACGAAAGUUUUGUUUUAAUGAGAUAAAAAUCAAUUUUUUAAUUUUAGGAAGUGACAAAAUACAAAUAUUAUUUUUAUUUUAUGGUUAUAAUAAAGGUUGUAUAGUAUUUUCUAGAAAAAGCUUCUUAAAGUAAUAAAACCGUACCCUAAACCGACACAGGUGAACAAGUUUAGUAAACUAAGGCGCUUGAGAGAAUUAUGUUGAAGGAACUCGGCAAAAUGACUUCGUAACUUCGGGAUAAGAAGUGACUCUGAGAAGGUAACUUCUUAGAGUUGUCACAAAAUCGGGGGCAGCGACUGUUUAACAAAAACACAGGUCUCUGCGAAUUCGUAAGAAGAUGUAUUGAGGCUGACGCCUGCCCAGUGCUGCAAGAUUAAAGGAGAAAGUUUUUUGGCUUUAACCCUAACUCCCAGUAAACGGCGGCUGUAUUCUGACGGUCCUAAGGUAGCGAAAUUCCUUGGCAUUUAAUUGGUGUCCUGCAUGAAUGGCGUAACGACUGCCCCACUGUCUCCAGCAUAAGCUCAGUGAAACUGAAUUGUUCGUGAAGAUGCGAACUACUUGCGGCUAGACGGAAAGACCCCGUGCACCUUUACUAUAGUUAUGCAGUGUAAUGAAUUUUUUUUUGUGUAGAAUAGGUGGUAAGUUGUUAAUUUAAAUGGCUAUUUGCGCUAGCAAAUAAGUUAAACAUCGUUGAAAUACCACUCUAAAAACUUUUCAUUACUCAUUGAUUAAGACAUUGUAUAAUGGGUAGUUUGACUGGGGCGGUCGCCUCCUAAAGAGUAACGGAGGCGUGCAAAGGUAAACUUAAGUUGAACUAGUACAACUUUAAAGCAUAAUAGUAUAUGUUUGCCUGAUUGUAAGAUUGACAAAUCGAGCAAGGACGAAAGUCGGUUAUAGUGAUCCGGUAAUUCUGUGUGGAAAAGGUUACCGCGCAACGGAUAAAAGGUACGCCGGA
rnacentral:rRNA from 1 species